UCCCUGGAGGACUAGUGGUUAGGCCACAGCGCUCUCACUACUGCGGCCAGGGUUCGCUUCCUGGGCAGGGAA